ensembl:lncRNA
AUGGAGAGUUCUAGACUACUGUGUGACGCAUACGCCAGCCUAAAUACAGGGGACCAUAAAGGAGAUCGCAUGUGGAGACAGAGAGAGAAUGGAAGAGGUAACGGCCACGGCCCAUCUCCUGUCCUCUGUGAGACCCUGGCAUUGUCCAGUGCUGAUUUAAACUAUUGUGAUGAGAGCCAGUGAUCCUCAACUACAGGUUAAGCACUCCACAUUCACAUUCUUACAAGUUAAUGUGACAAGUUAAGUGAUGUAUGACCCCGAACGCUCACUCUUUUUCUUCCUCUGUCUUUUGAGUCUCACUCUCUGAUCUCUCGCCGCACAAUAUGUUGCUCAGACCUUUAAAUAGGCUUUUUAAGAGAGUUCUUCAAAAGGUCUGACUCCACAAAUAGGAUUGUUGGUGAGGAAGAUACAUUUUGGAAAGCAGAUGAGCCUAUUUGAGGAGGAGAAUGGAAAACAAUCUAUAAAACGUUUCAUAUGAAAAAAGUCUGGAUGGUUCUAGGACAUUAAGGUGUUCUAGGUGGUUGCUCAGGAGUUCUAGAUGCUUUCUAGGGUGUUGGUAGGGUAUUAUGGGUGCUUCUAGGGCAUUGCUAGGGCAUUCUAAUCAGUUGCUAGGGUGUUCUAGAUGCUUUCUAGGGUGUUGCUAGGGUAUUAUGGGUGCUUCUAGGGCAUUGCUAGGGAAUUCUAAUCAGUUGCUAGGGUGUUCUAGAUGCUUUCUAGGGUGUUGCUAGGGUAUUAUGGGUGCUUCUAGGGCAUUGCUAGGGAAUUCUAAUCAGUUGCUAGGGUGUUGCUAGGGUAUUAUGGGUGCUUCUAGGGCAUUGCUAGGGUAUUCUAAUCAGUUGCUAGGGUGUUCUAGAUGCUUUCUAGGGUGUUGCUAGGGUAUUAUGGGUGCUUCUAGGGCAUUGCUAGGGAAUUCUAAUCAGUUGCUAGGGUGUUGCUAGGGUAUUAUGGGUGCUUCUAGGGCAUUGCUAGGGUAUUCUAAUCAGUUGCUAGGGUGUUGCUAGGGUAUUAUGAGUGCUUCUAGGGCAUUGCUAGAGUAUUCUUAACAGUUGCUACAGUAUACUGGGUGGUUAUGGCAUUGCUAGGGUGCUCUGUGUAGUUUAUGCUUGUUUGCUAGGGUAUACACACGCACACACACACACACACACACACACACACGUAUAUAUAUAUGUUCAGGGGGUUUGGCGGGAAUUGUCAGAGUGAAGCCUGUGAGAACCAAACCUCCCCACCAUCCCACCUCCCAGCAUGCUCUGCUCCCUCUCACUGCAUGGAAACAGACAAUGCUGGCAGGUGGUUCAGCCUCCUUUUUGCUGUUUGGAGGCUGAAAUGAAGCAUAUUUGUCCUUAUUAGAUGCCAAGUUUAGCUUACAGUUCUUUCCAGUUACAUUCUUUCCAUUAACAAUAUGGCUAAGAAAUAUCAGAAAUUGUAUCUUUCUUUGGACUGGACUAUAUUGUGUCUACGUGUUAAAACAUUAAUUCCCAAGAGUUUCAUUUAAACCAACAAAUGUACAAUUGUACUAACCUCACAAAAAG